rnacentral:rRNA from 1 species
AUGGCGUCGACGGAGGAGCAAGUCUUCCUUGGAUCGAGGAACCUGUCGUAUCACAGCGCCCACUACCCCGACGCUAGCGCCGAUUGGGAUUACCCGGAAGACCCAGGCGAUCGGCGGGAGGGGGUGGAGGUUGCCGAGCUCCAUGACCAGCCGGCGCGCAUGAGCACAUCAUAUUCAGAUCCAUGUGAAGUCGCCAGGCGUGCCUUGGACCUCAUGUUCCCGCGGGAGGAGGACAGCGAUGACUGCUGGGGCACCUGGAGCGCACGGGAGGAGGGCACUGAUGACGACGAUGAACAAGGAGGGGAAGGAGUCGAUGACUGUAGCACACAGGAGGGCAGCGAUUAUGAAGACGACGACCGCAAUUGCCAAGUGAUACUAGCCGAGACAAACUGUCCAGGAAAGCUCUACCCCAAGAGUGAAGCAGAUGAGAUAGAUGACAAAUGGGUACAUAGGUACUCCCAACAGCUUAGUGAACACGAGAAGCUGUGCAGGGAGAUUAUGGCUCUGCGAGGUGAUGAUGAUGAUGAUGAGGAGGAGGAGGAGAAGGAUGAUGAUGCUCUCCUUGCCCCGUCUGUCCCAUGA